rfam:Aspergillus fumigatus Af293 chromosome 2, whole genome shotgun sequence.
ACAUACGACCAUAGGGUGUGGAAAACAGGGCUUCCCGUCCGCUCAGCCGUACUUAAGCCACACGCCGGCCGGUUAGUAGUUGGGUGGGUGACCACCAGCGAAUCCCGGCUGUUGUAUGUG